GGCCAGAGUUCUUUGCAGAUGGCCUCAGGGGGGAUGGCAGGCAUCCUUUGCAGGACACUUCUCUUCAUCUUCGCACUUUUGCCUUGUGCUGUCACAGGUACCCAUCUGGCUAUCAAUGGCCACACUGCUGACUACCAGCUGUCAACAAAGCCAGGCGUAGCAGAGUCCCUCGUGUGCAUAGUGCACAACAACAGCCAGGGAGAAGAGCUGCUCUGGUUCCGAGGGGACACACAGGUCGACCUGAAAGAUGGAAACAAAGUCAAUGCCAGCAGCGUCUGCAUCUACCCCGUCGCUGUGGAUGACAACGAAGUUUCCUUUACCUGCAAGUUGGCCCGAGAUGGAUCUGUCAUGAUCUCUGUGGUCCUGGAUGUCCGUUUCCCCCCCAUCCUCAGCGGAGAAGACCCUCCCCCACAGGAAGAGCAGGCCGAUGUGACACUGGAUUGUCACACAAAGGCCAACCCUCCUGCUCAGAUGGCCUGGUAUAAGGACAACAGCAUUCUGACCCUGGAGAAAUCCCGUUACCACAUCUAUCAGACCAGCGAGCUCUUUCAAUUGACCAUUGCAAAGGCCCAGAUAUCCGACAAUGGGAUAUACACCUGUGUGGCUAGUUUGGAUGGGAUAACAGAGAAGAUGGAUUUCCACCUGACUGUUGAAGAAGGGAAGCUCCCUUUCCCAACAGAGGCUGUCAUUGCUGCGGCUGUGGUCAUUUUUUUCACUAUCCUCUUUGGCAUUGUGGCUCGAUGGAAGCGGAUUGCAAAGGUAAGAACAUCAGAAGAGAGCCUGGCUGCUGGAUCAGACCUAAGGGGGGCCCCAUCGGGUCUAACAUCCUGUUCUCACAGUAGCCAACUAGAUGCCCCAAUUGGAAGCCCACAGGCAGGAUCUGAGCACAACAGCAUCACUCUCCCCCCUGUGGUUUCCAACAGCUGGUAUUCAGAGGCCUCCUACCUCAGACACUGGCCCGCCUCCUCCAUUAUGAAUUUGUCUAGUCCUCUUUUAAAGCCAUCCAAGUUGAUAGCCAUCACGUCCUCUUUUUGGAAGCAAAAUCCAUAGUUUAUCUAUACGCUGUGAGAAGAAGUCCUUUCUUUUGUCUGUCCAGACACUGAUUGUUUUAUUUUGGAAGCUAAAGAGGCAUCCAAGUGUAUCACCACCCUUUACUUGAUGAUAGAGACUAGCGGGGAAACCCUUUGUGUUGCCUCAGCCAGCAGGGGGCGCCAUUCAGGGAACACCUUUCUGACCCAGCCAUGGUGUUGUUCUUCAGACUGAAAUGCCUCCCACCCACAGUCUUUUCCCCCAAAAGGAAGGCGUUGUCAUCUUCUGCUUGCUUUGCUGAAAGUGGGGAAGUAGCAAGGAGCGAGCAGGGUUGAAAGGAGGUGGGGGAGACACUUCCAGACACUCCAUUUCAACAGGGCUGAGGGCUCCGUGUUAGGUGGGAACCAAAGCUGCUCCUGUGUUGUAGCUCAGCCGUUGAGAGCGUGGUGCUGAAAACACCAAGGUCACGGGUAACUGGUGCUGGCCAGCUGCAUAUUCCUGCGAUGCGGGGGGUUAGACUUCACGAUCCUCGGGGUCCCUUCCAACUCUACACUUCCAUGAUUCUAUGUAUACAUUUGCAGGAUUUCUAUUUGCUACUAAUUCCUAGCACAGAGGUAGCUCUCCUGUGUCCCUGCAGAUGCUGUUGGGACUCCAAUUCCCAUCUUUUCUGGCUGCUGGGAGUUGGGGUCUCAACCAUACCUGGAAAGCCACAGGUGAGCCAUCACUGCCCUACCAAAACCACAGACUCAGCUCCCAUCCACCGAAAUCAGUGGCCGAAAUAAAUAUACAAAAGCUGACAAGGUUGUCGCAUUUAUGCCUUUCUCUUUUCCACCCUUUUUAUUUUAUUUUUAGUGCUUUGGGAUAGGGUGCAACUCAUCAAGCAACACAUCUCUGUGAAGGAAUUCCUCCACUGGAGCAAGCAAAGGAGCACUCCUGCCCAUCACCGCAGAUGACAAGACCCUUUCAGCUUUUAAGGGCCCUGGUUCAGAGGCCUCUUUGAUAGCAUUUAAAAGUUGCACACCUUCUGCUGUCUGACAGUUGCUCCUGUUGGUUUAAGUGCAUAUAUUUGGCUUACAAUUGAGAAAUUCAGGCUGGCCAGACCUUUGGUGUUGUACCAAGGUAAAAUAUUAACUUCAGUCUUGCCAUUCAAAUGCCCAAACUGCAAAUCGGGAAUGGGGAAUCUGUGUUUCUCGCUGCCAACCCCCUUCAUCACUGACUGCAGGCUAUACUGGCUGAGGCUGAUGAGAGGUGGAGUCCGAACGCCACCCAGAGGACCAAAGGCUUCCCUGUCCUUGGUGUAAACAUGCAGAUUAUUUUAAAAAGGAAAUAUAGAGUUAACACACUGGUUGCUGUUUUGCUACAGAGCCAGGUUCAAGGUCUCCAUGUUAACUCACAAAGCUCUAAACAACUUGGGACCAAUGUACCUUAAGGACUGCCUGAUCCUUUAUUCUCCACCUUGAUUGCUGAGAUCCUCUGGUGGGCCACUUCUUGUGGGUGGGUGGGUGGGUUCUCCAUGCCCCAGAAGUUCAGCUGGCCUUCACUAGGGACUGAACCUUUCAUGUAGUGGGCUCUGCCCUAUGGAACUCUCUGCCAGUAGAGGUUCAGCAGGAAUCACCCUAGCCUUCCUUCAGACGUCUCUUGAAAUUUGCACUUUUUAAACACAAUAUGAUUUUGUCCCUUUUCACCAACCAGAACUGAUUGCUGUUUUGUUGGUUUUUCUAAUUAUGUUUUACAUAUAGUUAUGUAAACAAUCAUAAAUAUUCAAACAAACAAAUAAAUGCAGUAUCGAUACAAAUACCUGUGUGAGGAAUGA